rnacentral:RNase_MRP_RNA from 14 species
CUUGGGGAAAUUCCCCGGACGUAAGGGCAGAAAGUGCCACCCGGAAACGGGCACCGGAUUGGGAGCCGCUCUUUUGCGACGAGGGCGUUUUUCAAUUGUUGAAAAACGCAAGAGCAUUAUGAAGAGUCGGCCCCUUUCUGCCGUCAGAGCAAAGUUAUGCCGUCAAUCUAACUCAACGGGGAUUACU